rnacentral:rRNA from 1 species
CCUACGGGAGGCAGCAGUAGGGAAUCUUUCACAAUGGGCGAAAGCCUGAUGGAGCAACGCCGCGUGCAGGAUGAAGGCCUUCGGGUUGUAAACUGCUUUUAUAAGCGAGAAAUAUGAUGGUAACUUAUGAAUAAGGAUCGGCUAACUACGUGCCAGCAGCCGCGGUCAUACGUAGGAUCCGAGCAUUAUCCGGAGUGACUGGGUGUAAAGAGUUGCGUAGGUGGCAUAAUAAGUAGCUAGUGAAAUCUGGUGGCUCAACCAUUCAGACUAUUCGCUAAACUGUUACGCUCGAGACCGUUAGGGGUAACUGGAAUUUCUAGUGUAGGAGUGAAAUCCGUAGAUAUUAGAAGGAACACCAAUAGCGUAGGCAGGUUGCUGGGACGGUUCUGACACUAAGGCACGAAAGCGUAGGGAGCAAACGGGAUUAGAUACCCCUGUAGUC